GUCGUCGUCGUCGUCGUCACGCUGCAUUGCCACAAAAAAUCUUGAAAUAAUAUAUCAUAAUUUCUUCAUAGCAAAGUGUUCGAAUCCGUCAAUAAGCACAAAUGCAAGAGUGGUAGGAAAUGAGUUCUACAAUGGCAAGGAAGUGGAAUUUGUCUGUCGGAGAGAUUAUGUUCUUGAUCUAGAAAUUUCAAAGAAGUUGACUUGUGAAAAUGGAAAAUGGAAAGGAAUAAUCCCAUUGUGUAAAGGUAUAACAGAUCUGGUCUAUCGCGUUAAGAAUCCCAACGACCGGAAUGGUUCAUGGUGCACGUACACAAAUACAAAUUUAUUUCUUUGCUUGAUUGUAAUAAAAGGUAGAGUGCAUGAAACUUGCCUUUACGGCCACCUCGUUAAUACCGUGAUCUCUUUAUUACGUCCACUUAUUUUUGUCCUCGAAAAACGCCAAAAUAAUACACUUUCUUAUAAAGAUACCCAGUUAAAACUGCCACCUCGUUAAUACGGUCAAUUUUCUUUCGGCCCGUCCUUGGCUGUUUUUCGGCCGAUCCGUUGACUGGGGUUCCACUUUCUAAGUUAUAUUACCCAAUCUUUCAAUUACUUUAGCUAGAAAUGAUUACCCAACAAAUUUAUCUUCACUAUCAACCUUCAAGUAUAACUAAUGAAUGACUUCUUUUUUUUCUGUCCGUAGCACCAUGUAGAAAGCUCGGCGCACCAGCUCAUUCAAGAAUCACAAAAGGAGGUUUUAGACAUAACGAGAAUAUCAAAUUUGAAUGUGAUCCAGACUAUCACCUGCGAGGAAGGAACGUCUUGACCUGUUCAGAUGGAACAUGGAAUGGUGCCCCUCCGACCUGUUUAGCAAGGCGAGAAACGUUGGACACGCGCCCGACUUGUCUUUGAAGGGUACUUGGUUUAACUAAUUUAAAUUAAUAACUCUAAUUUAAGCAAAGCCACGCCAAGCCAGACAGAAAUAUUGCUCAAAUUAUUCAAAUGAUAUUGUUUUAAAAUAGUAUAUUUACACCUAGUUAUAUAGUUCUCAUAUUCACUGAGACAUUUCUUCAAGCUAUGGCUCUCAUUCGUGC